CGAAUAAGGCACCCUGUAUAUCCAGCAUAUUGUUAACUUUUGUUAAUUUUAGCCUGCGUACAAUAUAAUUUCAAACAUUUUUCACCCGCAUUGUUGAAAUUCAAAAUCAAUAGCAAUAGACACAGAAAUACUCACACACACAUUCGUGUAGUGCCUUAAGUAGAGACACCGUCAUUAGGCAGCGUCUUUGUGCCAAGUCGCCAGGUUAUGUCGAUUCUAUAUGUACAUAUAUAUCAUACAUACAUAUGUACACCUUGUCUCACACUCACACACACACACACAUACGUACGCAUGUACAAUUGUACUUGUCUUUACCUGUGCCUCUCAUUUGGCGGGAAAUCAUAGCCUCAGAGCGCUCUCGAAACCAAUAACAAAAACAAAAACCCGAAAAUCAGGUAACCAACUUGGCUCAGCAGCAACAGCAGCAGCGGCAGCAGAAGCAGCGACGUCGACGACGCGUCGAGAGCAGCGCAGAGCACAGCAAGCAAAGUCUCUGCCGCAGUCGCUGCCAGCGUCAAGCGUCGCGAGUCGAGCGAGCUGCGCGUCUCAAGAAGCUGAUCUGGAGCCCGUUUGUCGCAUUUUUACCAAAACUGAAUUUAGUUUAGAAGCGUUUGGCGGCGUUGAAGGUGUGUGCAAAAGCGCAAUCCGGUGCCUCAGAGCAGCCACUGCAUAGAGCAUAUACCAUAUUGGAGAGCGCUACCAAAAAAAAAUCUACAACUAUAUAUAUUAUAUAUAUAUGCCUCACAAGCAUCAUCUCACACUCACUCACUUAGGGUCUGUUGUCUGUGUCAACAAAACUUAUACGAAAAUAAAUUCAAAUUCAAAUUAAAUAAAAAAAAAACACCAAGAGAAAUAUUCAAAUCGCAAGUGUUUCGCAGUUUAAGUGCAGUUACCAAAACGUGUGUCACACAACACUCUCCUCAUCGCAAUUAAAAUAUAUAUAUGUUAUCUCAUAUAUAUCUGAAGAUCGAGCAACUCUAAAAGUUUCCAGAGCAACAGCUGAAAAUCGUUAAUUGAGUGGCGCCAAAAGGGUUUCUGCAGCCUUCACAGCUGACUGAAGUUGAGGCCUAUAUCGAGAGAGUAAGCACUAAAUUAUGAACAUAUCUGUCUCUAAAUAAAUGACUAAGACUGAGCUAUGCAAAUGAGUCUAGCCAUAUUUGUAAGUCAGCCUAGCAAUCAAGCACAACAUCUGUGCAUUAUGGAUAAAACAAAUUACAGCUGCUGAUUCAAUUGCAGUUGUUCAAGUUGCUGUGUGGCUUGUCAUUGCUUGCCUAAUGAGCACGAGGCAAAGGUGAGAAUUGUUUUCUACUAGAAAGAUGUUCAAAUGUUGCUACAUCUGUCGAAAAGAGAACACAUAGAAAACAAAACAG